AUUGAACGCUGGCGGAAUGCUUUACACAUGCAAGUCGAACGGCAGCACGGGGCAACCUGGUGGCGAGUGGCGAACGGGUGAGUAAUACAUCGGAACGUGCCCAAUCGUGGGGGAUAACGUAGCGAAAGUUACGCUAAUACCGCAUAGGAUCUACGGAUGAAAGCGGGGGGUCGCCAGACGUCGCGCCAAUGGAGCAGCCGAUGUCAGAUGAGGUAGUUGGUGGGGUAAAGGCUCACCAAGCCAACGAUCUGUACCUGGUCUGACAGGACGACCAGCCACACUGGGACUGAGACACGGCCCAGACUCCUACGGGAGGCAGCAGUGGGGAAUUUUGGACAAUGGGCGCAAGCCUGAUCCAGCCAUUCCGCGUGCAGGAUGAAGGCCUUCGGGUUGUAAACUGCUUUUGUACGGAACGAAACGGUUCUCUCUAAUACAGGGGGCUAAUGACGGUACCGUAAGAAUAAGCACCGGCUAACUACGUGCCAGCCGCCGCCGUAAAAC
rnacentral:rRNA from 1 species